rnacentral:rRNA from 1 species
GUAGGGAAUCUUCCACAAUGGACGAAAGUCUGAUGGAGCAAUGCCGCGUGAGUGAAGAAGGUUUUCGGAUCGUAAAGCUCUGUUGCGAGGGAAGAACACGUACGGGAGUAACUGCCCGUACCUUGACGGUACCUCGUCAGAAAGCCACGGCUAACUACGUG